rnacentral:tRNA from 1 species
CGGAUUUAGCUCAGUUGGUAGAGCGGAAGCUUCCCAAGCUUCAGGUCGCGGGUUCGAACCCCGUAAUCC